AUGUCAGCAGUCCUCCCUGUUGUGAUAGAUUGCAUAGGAUGCUGCUUCCGGAUCCAAAGGAACAAUCGACAGACGUCACAAAGAUCCACCUCUGGCUGCAUCAGAAAGUUAUGCUCCUGGCGCCACCAGCGAGUGCACCCCGCUAAUGGGUCGGGGACAGAAGAAACCCCGGGCUCCCAUGAAAGGCUGCCCAGCACCGCAGGAGGAAUAGAGGCUCCAAGUGGCUGCACAAUGCCGGCCGAUGACGCAACUAAUAAUAAUGGCAUGGCUUUGGAGCGCCCCACUCCAGUGACAAACAAUCGGGGUGAAGAAGAAGAAGGUAGCACACACCCAGGCGACCUUGCAAGUAAGAGCUCACAGUUCACCCUCAUCCUUAGCCUGGUGUGCGGCACCAUUGUACAAACUCGCUGCCCAUCUGGGUGAGAAGGACUCCGUGCUCCCUCUGUGUUUCUCUCCAUGAAGUAAGUCCCUCUUGUUGUAAGGCUCUUGGGAGGGCAGACAUCCUUUUUGCUCAAGGCCCAUGCACCAAAUGAAGCCUGCAGAAAAACUGUCAUGUGAUGGAUAGUGGUUGGAUUUCAGUAUUGUCAUGUGUUCUAUUUUUGGUUUUUAAGAUCAACGUUUUGGGUUUAAGAUCCCUUCAUUAGCAUACUUUUCCUAGAAUUACCCCUCCAGGAAAGUUCUAAGUUUUCUUAAAUGAUUUUAAUUUUUUCCUUUACACUCGGUUUAAAUUUUUCUGUUAAUUUCUGCUGUGCAGGAAAGUGAUCCUGUCGCACACGCGUGCACACACGCACACAGACACACCCAUAUACAUGCUUACAUUUUCUCCCACUAUCCUCUAUCACGUUCCUUCGUGAGUGGCUGGAUAUUGUAUCCCUGUGCGAUCCAGUGGGCUCUCAUCGCAUAGCCAGUCCAGAUGCAAUUGUUUGCAUCCCUAAAGCCCAGAGUCCCAGUGCAUCCCACUUCCUCCCUGACCCCACUGGCAAGCACAAGUCUCUUCUGCAAGUCCUUGAGUUUCUGUUCCGUGGAAAGGAUCAUUUGUGCUGUGUUUUAGAGUCCAGAUAUAAGUGACAUCAUGUGGGGUUGGUGUUUCUCUUUCUGAGGGACUUUGCUUAGGAUGAGCGCCUCUAGUUCCAUCCACUCUGCUGCAAAUGGCACUAAUUCCUUCCUUUCACGGCUGAGGAGUACCGCAUUGUGUAUAUAUCCCACCUCUUGUUAACCCAUUCAUCUGUCGGUGGACGUUUAGGUGGUUUCCACGUCUUGGCUAGCGUGAGGAGUGCCGCACUGGACACUCGGCGCUGUCGUCAACGUCCAUGGGUGCCUGUAUCUUGUUCAAGGCAAGUCUUGUCCCCACAUACGCCCAAGAGUGGGAUUUCUGGGCCACAUGCUAGUUCUAUAUUUAGUUUUCCGAGGUCCCUGCAUGGUGCUUUCCAUAGCGGCUGUGCCAAGUUACAUUCCUACCAACAGGGUGGGAGGGUACCCUCUUCUGCACACCCUCUCCAGCAUUUGUAAUUUCUAGCCUUACUAAUGAUGGCCCUUCUGACAGGUGCGAGGUGGUACUUCUUAGCAGCUUGGAUUUGCCUUGUUCUAAUCAUUCAUGGUGUUGAGCAUGUUUUCGUGUGCCUGUUGGCCAUCUGUCUAUCUUCCUUGGGUGACUGUCUAUUCAGUUCUCUUGCCCAUUUUUCAAGUGGGUCGUUGUUUGUGUUUGCUGUUGAUGGUGUCUUGUCUUAGGUUUAAGUCUUUAAGCCGUUUUGAGUUUCUUUUUGUGCACGGUUUGAGGGUGUUGUUUUCCAGUUUCCUGGAUUUUCAUGUGGCUGUCCAGCUUCCCAGCACCACGCGCUGAACAGACUGUCUUUUCCCCCCUUGACAUUCUUGCCCCCUUUGUUGAAGAAUAAUUGACCGUCGGUUUGGGGUUUAUUUCUGGGUUCUGUCUUCUGUUCCAGUGGUCUGUGUGUCGGUUUUGGUACCUUUGCCACACUGUCUUGCUUACCGUAGCUUUGUAAUAUUGACCGAAGUCUGGGAGAGGUGUGCCUCCUGCUUGGUUUUUGCUCCUCAGGAUUGCCUUGGCCAUUCCGGGCCUGUUUAGGUUCCGUGUAAAUGUUUGGACGGUUUUGUUCUAGUUCUGCGAAAACGAUCACGGAUAGGGAUGGCAUUGCAUCUGUAGAUUGCUUUGCGUAGAACGGCCAUUUUUAGGAUAUUCAUUUUUUCCAAGCCAGGAGCGUGGCCUAUGUCUGCCCUUCUUUGACUCCUCCUUAAUUUCCUUGAGUCAUGUUUUAUUGCUCUCGGCGCAGAGGUCUUGCAGCUCCUGGCUCAGGUUGGUCCCCAGAUGUUUAAUGCUUUGGGUUCUUCCUUGGACCCCUGCUUGAGUGGCUAAGAGGAAGGCCAUCCCCUCCCCUGGAGUGAACACUGGGGGAGGUGUCUCCUUGCAAGCCUGGGGAGAGCAGCCUUCCUCCUGUUCCUUGGCCCUCUGCAGCUACCCGUGUGCACUCCAGGGCCUUUGCCCAUCCCCUUGUCUACCGCCUCUCCUUGUUUUGUCUUCCUUCUUUCGCGUUUACACAGGGUCAUUUUUCUCAUGCAUCCUCCUCACCUGACAAAAAAUAAAAAAGAACAAAGAGGAAAAGGGGAGAGCUCU
rnacentral:lncRNA from 1 species